AUGAACGCUAGCUACAGGCUUAACACAUGCAAGUCGAGGGUCAGCAUGGUCUUAGCUUGCUAAGGCCGAUGGCGACCGGCGCACGGGUGAGUAACACGUAUCCAACCUGCCGUCUACUCUUGGACAGCCUUCUGAAAGGAAGAUUAAUACAAGAUGGCAUCAUGAGUCCGCAUGUUCACAUGAUUAAAGGUAUUCCGGUAGACGAUGGGGAUGCGUUCCAUUAGAUAGUAGGCGGGGUAACGGCCCACCUAGUCUUCGAUGGAUAGGGGUUCUGAGAGGAAGGUCCCCCACAUUGGAACUGAGACACGGUCCAAACUCCUACGGGAGGCAGCAGUGAGGAAUAUUGGUCAAUGGGCGAGAGCCUGAACCAGCCAAGUAGCGUGAAGGAUGACUGCCCUAUGGGUUGUAAACUUCUUUUAUAAAGGAAUAAAGUCGGGUAUGGAUACCCGUUUGCAUGUACUUUAUGAAUAAGGAUCGGCUAACUCCGUGCCAGCAGCCGCGGUAAUACGGAGGAUCCGAGCGUUAUCCGGAUUUAUUGGGUUUAAAGGGAGCGUAGAUGGAUGUUUAAGUCAGUUGUGAAAGUUUGCGGCUCAACCGUAAAAUUGCAGUUGAUACUGGAUAUCUUGAGUGCAGUUGAGGCAGGCGGAAUUCGUGGUGUAGCGGUGAAAUGCUUAGAUAUCACGAAGAACUCCGAUUGCGAAGGCAGCCUGCUAAGCUGCAACUGACAUUGAGGCUCGAAAGUGUGGGUAUCAAACAGGAUUAGAUACCCUGGUAGUCCACACGGUAAACGAUGAAUACUCGCUGUUUGCGAUAUACAGCAAGCGGCCAAGCGAAAGCGUUAAGUAUUCCGCCUGGGGAGUACGCCGGCAACGGUGAAACUCAAAGGAAUUGACGGGGGCCCGCACAAGCGGAGGAACAUGUGGUUUAAUUCGAUGAUACGCGAGGAACCUUACCCGGGCUUAAAUUGCAGAUGAAUUACGGUGAAAGCCGUAAGCCGCAAGGCAUCUGUGAAGGUGCUGCAUGGUUGUCGUCAGCUCGUGCCGUGAGGUGUCGGCUUAAGUGCCAUAACGAGCGCAACCCUUGUUGUCAGUUACUAACAGGUUCCGCUGAGGACUCUGACAAGACUGCCAUCGUAAGAUGUGAGGAAGGUGGGGAUGACGUCAAAUCAGCACGGCCCUUACGUCCGGGGCUACACACGUGUUACAAUGGGGGGUACAGAGGGCCGCUACCACGCGAGUGGAUGCCAAUCCCCAAAACCUCUCUCAGUUCGGACUGGAGUCUGCAACCCGACUCCACGAAGCUGGAUUCGCUAGUAAUCGCGCAUCAGCCACGGCGCGGUGAAUACGUUCCCGGGCCUUGUACACACCGCCCGUCAAGCCAUGGGAGCCGGGGGUACCUGAAGUGCGUAACCGCGAGGAGCGCCCUAGGGUA
rnacentral:rRNA from 1 species